GACGAACGCUGGCGGCGUGCUUAAUACAUGCAAGUCGAGCGAGGUCCAUCUGGUGGCAACACCAGUGAAGGCCGAGCGGCGAACGGGUGAGUAACACGUGAGCAACCUGCCCCGAAGUCUGGAAUAACAUCGGGAAACCGGUGCUAAUACCGGAUCGCCCCACCUGACUGCAUGAUCGGGUGAGGAAAGAUUUAUCGCUUCGGGGAGGGGCUCGCGGCCUAUCAGCAGUUGGUGGGGUAACGGCCUACCAAGGCGUCGACGGGUAGCUGGUCUGAGAGGACGACCAGCCACACUGGGACUGAGACACGGCCCAGACUCCUACGGGAGGCAGCAGUAGGGAAUCUUGCGCAAUGGGCGAAAGCCUGACGCAGCAACGCCGCGUGGGGGAUGACGGCCU
rnacentral:rRNA from 1 species